rnacentral:rRNA from 1 species
UACAGAGGUCCCGAGCGUUGUUCGGAUUCACUGGGCGUAAAGGGUGCGUAGGUGGUUGGGUAAGUUUGAUGUGAAAGCUCAGGGCUUAACCCUGAAAUGGCAUUGAAUACUACUCAACUGGAGGUUUGGAGGGGGGACUGGAAUUCUUGGUGUAGCAGUGAAAUGCGUAGAUAUCAAGAGGAACACCAGUGGCGAAGGCGAGUCCCUGGACAAACACCUGACACUGAGGCACGAAAGCUAGGGGAGCAAACAGG